rnacentral:rRNA from 1 species
UCGGGCCUUGCGCUAUCAGAUGAGCCUAGGUCGGAUUAGCUAGUUGGUGAGGUAAUGGCUCACCAAGGCGACGAUCCGUAACUGGUCUGAGAGGAUGAUCAGUCACACUGGAACUGAGACACGGUCCAGACUCCUACGGGAGGCAGCAGUGGGGAAUAUUGGACAAUGGGCGAAAGCCUGAUCCAGCCAUGCCGCGUGUGUGAAGAAGGUCUUCGGAUUGUAAAGCACUUUAAGUUGGGAGGAAGGGCAGUAAGCUAAUACCUUGCUGUUUUGACGUUACCGACAGAAUAAGCACC